rnacentral:lncRNA from 10 species
CAGGUGUAAGCCACCACGCCCGACCUAGUUCCCAUAUUAAUUUCCCAUUUUAUCCUUAUGAAGGAAUUGGUGAAGCCCUUGGCCACGCACCAUGCACGGUUUAGACCAGCAUUUCCUAUAGUAUUCUGUUAGGAAUAUUGAUCCUUUGGGAUGCUUCAUGAGGGAAAAAGUCUCCGUAGAAAAAUUUCUUUGGGAAAGACUAUAUGCUCUAUCCCAUCACAAUGCCCACUGACGUUUUAAAGACUCUGAGAUAUCCUGCAGUAAAGGAACCUUUUCAACUUUGUUUAAUUCAGUGUUUCCCAAGCUUAUUUAACUAUAGAACCUUUUUUCAUGUUACAUCUGUUAACAUCUUACAGAACCAAUGUGUUUCAUGGGAAAUACUCUUUGGAAAACUUUAGCUUAGAAAUUAGUAUCUGUGCUGAUCCAGUCUAGAUUUAUAGUCUUCCUAGUUCUUUUAAAUGUCUUUUAUAACCCACACCAUUUUGCCCUAUGCUAGUUAGUGUCUAAUGGGAUGUUGCUGAUUUGUUUCAGGGUCUGAACUUGCUAUUAGUAGGAAGCUCUUGGUGAACUUUGGUUAGGUGCACAGGCAAAUACCAAGUGCCUUGUUUUUCUCAUAAUAUUUCUAAGGGAGUUUUAUUUCCCUUAUGUCCCUCUACCAAAUGCUGGUUUGAUCCUUAUUUUUUUUGGACAACUUUAUUGAGAUAUAAUUUAUAUAUUGUAUACACUAGCCAUUUAGUACUUUACUGUUUUUUGAGACACAGUUUCACUCUGUCUCCUACAGCCUUGACCUUCCCCAGCUCAGGUGGGAGGAUGGCUUGAGCCCGGGAGUUCGAGGCUGCAAUGAGCUAUAAUUGCACUAUUACACUCUAGCCUAGGCAACAAAGCAAGACCCUGUCU